rnacentral:rRNA from 1 species
UACGUAGGGCGCAAGCGUUGUCCGGAAUUAUUGGGCGUAAAGAGCUCGUAGGCGGCUUGUCACGUCGAUUGUGAAAGCCCCGAGGCUUAACCUCGGGUCUGCAGUCGAUACGGGCUAGCUAGAGUGUGGUAGGGGAGAUCGGAAUUCCUGGUGUAGCGGUGAAAUGCGCAGAUAUCAGGAGGAACACCGGUGGCGAAGGCGGAUCUCUGGGCCAUUACUGACGCUGAGGAGCGAAAGCGUGGGAGCGAACAGG